rnacentral:rRNA from 1 species
UACAGAGGGUGCGAGCGUUGUCCGGAAUCACUGGGCGUAAAGGGCGCGUAGGCGGCCUGAUAAGUAGGGGGUGAAAUCCUGUGGCUUAACUGCAGGGCUGCCUCCUAGACUGUUAGGCUCGAGCACGGUAGAGGCAGAUGGAAUUCCCGGUGUAGCGGUGGAAUGCGUAGAGAUCGGGAAGAACAUCGGUGGCGAAGGCGGUCUGCUGGGCCGUUGCUGACGCUGAGGCGCGACAGCG